ACGCUGGCGGCGUGCUUAACACAUGCAAGUCGAACGGUGAAGGGACUGGCUUUUGUUGGUCCUGGAUGAGUGGCGAACGGGUGAGUAACACGUGAGUAACCUGCCCCCUUCUUCUGGAUAACCGCAUGAAAGUGUGGCUAAUACGGGAUAUUCUGGGUCUGUCGCAUGACGGGCCCGGGAAAGAUAUUGCUUCGGUGGGGGAUGUGCUCGCGGCCUAUCAGCUUGUUGGUGGGGUGAUGGCCUACCAAGGCGGUGACGGGUAGCCGGCCUGAGAGGGUGGACGGUCACACUGGGACUGAGACACGGCCCAGACUCCUACGGGAGGCAGCAGUGGGGAAUAUUGCACAAUGGGCGCAAGCCUGAUGCAGCGACGCCGCGUGAGGGAUGGAGGCCUUCGGGUUGUAAACCUCUUUCGCCAGUGAAGCAGGCCUGCUCCUUGUGGGUGGGUUGACGGUAGCUGGAUAAGAAGCGCCGGCUAACUAC
rnacentral:rRNA from 1 species